rnacentral:lncRNA from 1 species
ACUUCUCAAUAGUUCUUGUGGGAAGAAACCCCCUUGCCUUCUGAGAAACCGAGGCAUCGAGUGAAACUGUCAGAAUGAAUCUCGUCCAUUAUUACUUCAGGCUUUGCUGCUCCUUUCUUUCCUCGCUCCUUUCUGGGAGGUCGUGGUGAUGAGCCCACCAAGAUUAUAGAAACAUUUCUCAUCCCCGGAAGCCACCACUCUGGUCUGUGAAGGAACCUCAUGUAUAGAGGCCACCAUCAUCCCAUCGUCCGAUCAAUCACAGAGCUGAGUGGUGUCCUUGGAACCCCUCAGAGGCUGCCCCGAUGUUCCAUAGAGCCCAGGAGAGCCUUUCUUAGGGAGAGCCACAGAGAUCUACAGAGGCCACCUCGCCUUCUGAGAAACCAAGGAGUUGGGUGAAACUCUCAGAACGAAUCUCAUCACAGAAUGGGGAGGAAUUGUGCAUGUUUCUGUUAUUCCUUACACUUUCCUGCUCCUUUCCUCACUCCCGUUAUGUCACAAAUUACAGGGCAGGAUCUUCCCAUUUUGUAUCUUCUCUUGUUUGUUCAUUUAUUCAAUGUCAGUUCAUAGACCUCUGGUUCUAGACCUGGUGUCUGUCAACACAGGACGUGGUGGACAAAAUUACUGGGCAUGGAUGAAGAUGCCAUAGUCCUGUGCCACGUGGGUUAAUGAAUGAUCAGAGGCAAAGAUAGAAAGGGGCCCUUUAUCCCCACCUGGGUUUACCUCGUUCAGAAACAGCCUGAGUUCCCAGUGCUUCCAGACUCACCAUGAUGAAGUUCCUGGUCCUCAUUGUGGCGUUGGUUAUCACCACAGGAUCCCGGGCUUCCGCAGCACCAGAGCGAGUUUCAAAGGUGAAGGAAUUGAGGGAUUCCUUCAAGGGACUUCCAAUGUUAUCCAUAGUCAUCUGGGGUAUGGCAGACAGAAGCAAGACAGCCCCGGAAUUGUCAGACCUGUACCAUAAUGUAAGCCGACAAUUGAGUAACUUCCGCCGAGAAAUUCCAUCAGAGAUCAAAGAACCAUUGGAGUUGGUGGGUGCUGUAUUAGAAGGUGUCAUCAGGAAAACCUAUCGUGCUGUAAUUGACCUGAACGACAAGCAGGACAUCGAAGAACCACUGAUAGACGGACUGUCGUAUUAUUUUGACUCAGUCCUGGAGAGAUUGGAACCCUAUUUCGAGUCCUUCAGACCUAUCCUCAAUGACGAACUGAGAUACAUAGAUGCGAAAUUGCCGGAGUAUUUUAAACCUCUCGACGAUCAGCUCUUCUUUUAUCUUAAGAAGUUGGAAGACGCUCAACCGACUCUCCAAGCUGCCGCCGACCAAACGCUGACUCGUAUCAGACAAGGGCUGGAGGCUCUCCACAAGAACCUGAAUCCUUACCUUAAACCCCUUCUGGAGGAGAGCAAAAAACACCAAACAGAGUUUUGGGAGUGGGUUCACGCCCCCAUAUUUCCCCCAGACCCGUGAUUAUUUUUUUUCCAUGAGUAAGGAGGAGCGAUGCAUUGUUGAUCUCCAAAGAAAAGCGGUGUGGCCGGGGUGACUGAAAUAAUGUGGUGCAUGGUGAUUUGUAACAAACAAACAAACCCCAACAGCUGAUGUAAUAAAGGAUACGUCCCCAACA